UUAUUUUGAAAAAUCUGAACUUUUGAUCCCCUAUUUUAAAACUCAGCACUUUUGAUCCCCUAUUUUAGUUUUUUGUUAGUUUUAGUCUCUCACCUCAAUUUGGUCAGACUUUUGCUUAUGUGUCAUGCUCACUGAUGACGUGGCAUUGUACAUGUGGACAAACAAUUUCCUUAGAUAGUGUCCCGAACCCCAAUCUUUUGCUUCUUUGAUUGAGUGAUGUAAACACACGAUCAUCUUUAAGGAAUCCCAUUGCAAAACAUGCAUCUCUAUAGGUC
rnacentral:lncRNA from 1 species